CCUACGGGUGGCAGCAGUGAGGAAUAUUGGUCAAUGGACGAGAGUCUGAACCAGCCAAGUAGCGUGAAGGAUGACUGCCCUAUGGGUUGUAAACUUCUUUUAUAAAGGAAUAAAACGAGGCACGUGUGCCUUUUUGCAUGUACUUUAUGAAUAAGGAUCGGCUAACUCCGUGCCAGCAGCCGCGGUAAUACGUAGGGGGCUAGCGUUAUCCGGAAUUACUGGGCGUAAAGGGUGCGUAGGUGGUUUCUUAAGUCAGAGGUGAAAGGCUACGGCUCAAACGUAGUAAGCCUUUGAAACUGGGUAACUUGAGUGCAGGAGAGGAGAGUGGAAUUCCUAGUGUAGCGGUGAAAUGCGUAGAUAUUAGGAGGAACACCAGUUGCGAAGGCGGCUCUCUGGACUGUAACUGACACUGAGGCACGAAAGCGUGGGGAGCAAACAGGAUUAGAUACCCCUGUAGUC
rnacentral:rRNA from 1 species